GCGCCGUGGACCUGUUCCUCCUGAAGGCGUAUGAUCUGACCGGCAAAAGCUCAUGCCUUGUAAUAUGUUCGUCCAGCUUUAACUUUAUCAACCCCUCUAUAGACUUAAACAAGGUAUUUAUUAGGCAAAUAGGUCUGUAGUUUUGGAAGGAAGCGGGGUCCGCAUUCUUCUUGGGGAUUUGUACCACCUCGAUUCUACGCCAGACCUCUGGGAUGUUGCCACUGAGCCAUACCCUGUUUAUAAUUUCAAAGGUGGAAUGUUCUCUGGGGGUCUACUGCUUGCAGUGGAGGGGAUGUCUUUGACCAUUUUUAGAAAGCCAUUGUCGUUUUCGUCUGUCCAUGUGUUCCCUACGUAUUUCUUUAGGUUCUUUACUCUACUCCACAUGGAGGGCGUAUAGGAAAGCUCUUCUAAGAACUUUAAGAAGUUUGACCUUCUGAAAUUUUUAAUCUCAUUUUGCAGGCUGCGGUCGGCCUCUAUAGUGGCCCUGGCAUCCUCAAAUUUUUUUGGUGUAAUAGUAUUUUUGCCUGCACGCAUUUCUAACGCGAAAUAGUCUCUCUAUCCCCUUGUUUCAACAUUUUUUGGCAAUAUACUUGUUGGUGCUGGGAAUGGUGACUGUGUUCUUACUGGUCAGGGAUUUGACCUUAUCGUUGAGCUCUUGUUGAUUGGUAAAACUGCUUGCUCCUAAAAUACGAUUUAUUCUAUUGUGCAGCACUUUCUUCUCUUGAAUGUAGGCAUCUAAACCUUCGACUGUUAUGACGAUUGGGAAGUGGUUGCUGUUGGUUAUUUUGGAUUUAAGGGCUUGCCAGUCGAUUCUACCGAUCCUGUGAUUGGAAAAGGUGAGGUCAAGAACAGAGAAUUGGGAAGGGUUCCUGGAAAACGUUGGAGAUCCGUCGUUAAGACAGAUAAAACCCGCCUCACGAGUAGCAUUCUCGAUGCUGUGGCCCUUGCGGUCACUGGAAGGGUUUCCCCAGAUGGAAGACUUGGCGUUGAAAUCUCCUCCUACGACUGAAGGGUAGUCUAGGGACUCCGCAAGCUCGAACACCUUUUAAAUGCCCGAUUUGAAUUGGGAAAGUGUCAUUGAAGGCGCAGCGUAUGCGCUAAAAAUGUUGAGGUUGUUUUUGAGGUUCAAGGUCUUAAUACCUACGAUCUCUAGAUCACUGUCUAUUUUCAGAAUGCUAAAUCUAAUUUUCUUUCUAAUAUAGAUUCCUACUCCGCCGUAGCCGUCUUCUCUGGGCUUGC
rnacentral:lncRNA from 1 species